AGCGAUGUCUAAGACCACACCAAGG
rnacentral:misc_RNA from 1 species